CCCCCCAUGGCUCAACGGUAGAGCGGGCGGCUGUUAACCGCUAGGUUGUAGGUUCGAAUCCUGCUCGGGGAGCCG
rnacentral:tRNA from 1 species